GAUGAACGCUGGCGGCGUGCUUAACACAUGCAAGUCGAACGAAGCAUUUAAGACAGAUUCUUUCGGGAUGAAGACUUAUCUGACUGAGUGGCGGACGGGUGAGUAACGCGUGGGUAACCUACCCUGUACAGGGGGAUAACAGUUAGAAAUGACUGCUAAUACCGCAUAAGCGCACAGUACCGCAUGGUACAGUGUGAAAAACUCCGGUGGUACAGGAUGGACCCGCGUCUGAUUAGUUAGUUGGCAGGGUAACGGCCUACCAAGACGACGAUCAGUAGCCGGCUUGAGAGAGUGAACGGCCACAUUGGAACUGAGACACGGUCCAAACUCCUACGGGAGGCAGCAGUGGGGAAUAUUGCACAAUGGGCGAAAGCCUGAUGCAGCGACGCCGCGUGAGCGAAGAAGUAUUUCGGUAUGUAAAGCUCUAUCAGCAGGGAAGAAAAUGACGGUACCUGACUAAGAAGCACCGGCUAAAUACGUGCCAGCAG
rnacentral:rRNA from 1 species